ACGGCUCAGUAACACGUAGUUAAUCUAACCUAUGGAUGGGCAUAACCUCGGGAAACUGAGAAUAAUACCCAAUAGACCACAGUGCCUGGAAUGGCCUGUGGUUCAAAUGAUUUAUCGCCGUAGGAUGGGACUGCGGCCUAUCAGCUAGUUGGUGAGGUAAUGGCCCACCAAGGCUAUAACAGGUACGGGCUCUGAGAGGAGGGGCCCGGAGAUGGGUACUGAGACACGGACCCAGGCCCUAUGGGGCGCAGCAGGCGAGAAACCUUUGCAAUGUGCGAAAGCACGACAAGGUUAAUCCGAGUGUCUCCCGCUAAGGGAGUCUUUUGUCAGUUCUAGAACCACUGGUGAAUAAGGGGUGGGCAAGUUCUGGUGUCAGCCGCCGCGGUAAAACCAGCACCUCGAGUGGUCAGGAGGUUUAUUGGGCCUAAAGCAUCCGUAGCCGGUUGCAUAAGUUUUCGGUUAAAUCUAUGCGCUUAACGUAUAGGCCGCCGAAAAUACUGUGCAGCUAGGGAGUGGGAGAGGUACACGGUACUCGAUAGGAAGGGGUAAAAUCCUUUGAUCUAUCGAUGACCACCUGUGGCGAAGGCGGUGUACCAGAACACGUUCGACGGUGAGGGAUGAAAGCUGGGGGAGCAAACCGGAUUAGAUACCCGGGUAGUCCCAGCUGUAAACGAUGCAGACUCGGUGAUGCAUUGGCUUGUGGCCAAUGCAGUGCCGCAGGGAAGCCGUUAAGUCUGCCGCCUGGGAAGUGCGUACGCAAGUAUGAAACUUAAAGGAAUUGGCGGGGGAGCAC
rnacentral:rRNA from 2 species